rnacentral:rRNA from 1 species
CAUUUGACGUGGGCGCAGCCUGACCGCCUACCGCGUGGGUGAAGAAGGCCUUCGGGUUGUAAAGCCCUUUUGUUGGGAAAGAAAUCCAGCCGGUUAAUACCUGGUUGGGAUGACGGUACCCAAAGAAUAAGCACCGGCUAACUUCGUGCCAGCAGCCGCGGUAAUACGAAGGGUGCAAGCGUUACUCGGAAUUACUGGGCGUAAAGCGUGCGUAGGUGGUUGUUUAAGUCUGUUGUGAAAGCCCUGGGCUCAACCUGAGAACUGCAGUGGAAACUGGACAACUAGAGUGUGGUAGAGGGUAGCGGAAUUCCCGGUGUAGCAGUGAAAUGCGUAGAGAUCGGGAGGAACAUCCAUGGCGAAGGCAGCUACCUGGACCAACACUGACACUGAGGCACGAAA